rnacentral:rRNA from 1 species
GACAGAGGUCUCAAGCGUUAGGCGGAAUCACUGGGCUUAAAGCGUGUGUAGGCGGAUCGUUAAGUGCCUUGUGAAAUCCCACGGCUCACCCGUGGAACGGCUGGGUAUACUGGCGGUCUUGGGCCACCUAGGGGCAGAUGGAACAGACGGUGGAGCGGUGAAAUGCGUAGAUAUCGUCUGGAACGCCAAAGGUGAAAACAGUCUGCUGGGGGUGUGCCGACGCUGAGACACGAAAGCCAGGGGAGCGAACGGG